UAACCUGCCUUGGAGUGGGGAAUAACAGCUGGAAACAGCUGCUAAUACCGCAUGAUGCAGUUGGGUCGCAUGGCUCUGACUGCCAAAAAUUUAUCGCUCUGAGAUGGACUCGCGUCUGAUUAGCUAGUUGGCGGGGCAACGGCCCACCAAGGCGACGAUCAGUAGCCGGACUGAGAGGUUGGCCGGCCACAUUGGGACUGAGACACGGCCCAGACUCCUACGGAAGGCAGCAG
rnacentral:rRNA from 1 species